GGACCUUUAGCUCGGUUGAUUAGAGUAGACAGCUCAUAACCGUUCGUAGGUUCAAGUCCUACAAAGUCCA
rnacentral:tRNA from 1 species